CGGUUCGGCACGGUCGCGAAAAAAAGUGAAAAUCGUUGCGAUUGUGGAAAAAAUUGGCGUCUCAGGAUAAUUUGGCGUUCUUUGGAUAAUUUGGCAGUACGUUCCGGCAUUAUUUUGAGAGCCCAGAAAACUGAAAAUGUCGUACCACUAUGAAUAUUUAGAUAGUCCGCAUCCGGAGGAAGACAUGGCACCGAUUUUUAAAAAACCAAAAAAAGCAAUAUCCCAUUCUCUACCGCUCAAACUGUGUCCGAUAAAUAUUACCAGGAUAAUGAAAUUGAAUGAAGCAGGAAACAACACAGACGGCCCAACCGAAAAAGAAGUAUUUCAUGAGACUCGGCAGACAGAUUCAAUUGUAUUUCAAUCACCAAGGCCUACUAUUUCUCUACCGCAAAGUAUCAAGAAUACAACCGUAAAAUCAGAUGUGGCUGAAACGUUCAAACUAGC